rnacentral:lncRNA from 1 species
AAUGAAUAAGUGUAACCAAUGAGGUCAACAUAAGCUAAUAUGUGGGGGCCACAAAAUUGGGUCUUUAUUUUUCUCAACCAUUCCUUGUGAUGAGCCUGUAUCUGUAGCCAAUUUUGUUUAUCAUCCAACUUUAAAGUACAAGAAUAAAGAUCUUCUAGUUUGUGUUUGUUCUUCUGCAUAUUAAGUGUGGCCCAUUUAGUCUUGUGCUUAGGUUGACACUCUCCUAGCAACAACAGCAACAAAAUAAAUGCCAACAAUCCAGAUCAUUUGAGCCCAUGUUGAUAGCAGUUUUCUUUUAAUGUUGAACUCCAGCUCAUAUGAUUAGUAUUGUUACAGUAACUCCCUGUACCCACAAUUUUGGUUUUGGCAGUUUUGAUCACCAUGAUCCAAAAAUAUUUGGUGGAAAAUUACAUGUUGAGAGAGAGAAUAGAUGCUGAUUUUAUUACAGUGUAUUAUAAUACUCUAUUGUAAUAUCCUUUUAACAUGAUAUAUUGUAAUUCUUCUAUUUUAUUACUAAUUGUUACUGUGACUCUCUCACUGUGCCAAAUUGUCAAAUCAAUUUUAUCAUAGUCUGUAUGUAUAGAAAAAGUUCAUAGUGUAUGUAAUCUUUGAUACAAUGUAUAGUUUCAGGCAUCCACCGGGAUUGAAAAUACAACUCUUGGCCAGGCAGUGGUGGCUCACACCUUUGAUCACAGCACUCAGGAGGCAGAGGCAGGCAGAUCUCUGUGAGUUCAAGGCCAGUCUGGUCUACAAAGUGAGUUCCAGGACAGCCAGGGAUACAGAAAGAAACUCUGUCUCAAAAAAAGCAAAAAAGAAGGACAAGAAAAGAAAAUACAACUCUGAUGGAUAGGAGAGAUGUCAUUAGACAGUAUUGUUAUUUUCCAAAAUAGACAUUGUUGGAACUAUGAAGAUACAUGGCUGAACAAGUGGCUUCUGGGAACUUGCUGGUCAUUCAAACUUUAACAUAAUGUAAUUUCAGGUGAAGGUUCUGACAGAAUUAGACCUGCAUUAUGGAAGUUAAAUCUAAGUGUGGCAGGACACUUAGAUUUAGACAAAGGUUGUUUGUUUAGUUAGAAGGACAAAGGUUGUUUCCUCCUCUAUGAUAGAUAGGAGAGAACAAUCCUGGACAUUAAGGAUUUUAAGAAAGUUUCUUUUGUAAAAAGAAAUGUUUCCUGGAUGGAGACUGCUCCUUAUUCAGUAGGAUAUUUGUUAUAUAUACAUUCAAUGACUGAAACACUUGGAGACAUUUUGUAACCAUGGUGGGGCAAGCACUGUUACCUAGACAACACUUUGAAGAGGGCAGAGUAAGAGGAUGAAAGACCUGAGUCCCUGAUUCUAGGGUGGAUGCACUGAACCAAUCUUGAAACAACCAAUCUCUGGAUUCUUGCUGCAUUAAAUCAGAAGUCUCCUUAAUGUUGGAGCUAUUGUAGUUAGUUAAGUUAAAUGCAUAUAAAAAGCACUAAAAUUAAUACAGCAAGUGAGUGCUCUCAUUUUUAAAUAUUUCAAUAGAAUUAAACCUCAAUUUACUCUUACUGUGCCCCAUAAGAUGUAUGAUAAUAAGCUGUCACUUGAGAAAGUGGCUCCUUGCCAAACAUGAACUACUGCUUGUCAUUAUAUCUUCUUCCUCGUCCAUAAAGUGGGCCUGGUUUCUGGUUUUCUCCUCACUAAGUUGAUGGUGUUUAUGAUGACUAGAAACCUAGCUGAUAUGUGAGAAUAUUUUUUGAUACUUGUUUAUCUAUGUUGUGUGUGCCUGAGUGUAUGUAUGCACAUUAUCGGCAUGCAGAAGCCCGAUGACUUCAGAAGAAGUCAUUAGAUUCUCUAUAACUGGAGUUACAGACUGUUGUAAGUCACCAUGUGGGUGCUGGGAAUCGCACUUGGAUUUUCUGCAAGAACAACAAGUGCGCUUAACUGCUGAGCCUUCUCUCCAGCACCCCCAACCCUUUAUAGCAGCAUCUUGCCUUGCCAGUGAAUUUGUGUUAUUGGCCACACCCCUUUGGGCCUAGCUUCAGGUGCGGACAUGACUGGAAAGCAGAGAAAAGUAGUAUGGGCCAGCACUCCCUCUUGGGUCACACAGAGCGCAUCAGAAGGGCAGAGUCUGGAUCUUCUGGAGCAGGAAAGCCUCCACAGCUCUUUACUAUUUUCUAUGUAAAUUGUUCCCCAAUAAAAUACCCAUUUAUCAUUUAUCCUGGGUCUAGUGAAGUCAUUAAUACCCCUCUUUUAUACCACCACCCCAGAAAAGAUUUCCUAAAUGAAUCUUUUCCAUAUGAGCAUUGCUGUGUUGUAAUUUAUGGGCAUGCUAAAAAAGUAAAGGACUAAGUGAUAGGCAAUUCACCUGCAGAGUCCUUGAGAGGCUGCAUAACAAUCUCAUCAUCACACAUGUGAUCACCACACAUGUAAUAGCCAUUUGACACACUGGUGGGCAUAGAGUGACUCCUGUGCUUUUGUGCUUGUCCCCUACAUUGGACUUGGUUUGAUGGUGACAUCCCAAUGAGAUCAGGGAGCCCAAAGCAGAGGUGAACACUCAGUGAGGUUCCACGCAACCCAGCCCAGAUUUAAAAGCAGUGAACAAUUACAGGAGAACAGAUUAAUAUUUAAUGAAGAUGUAAAUGAGAGUCAAUACUGAGUUGCUUAGUGAAAUCUAUUCCAGCAAGAGAAAACUGCAGUGGUCUUUAGAAGGCAGGGGAAGCAUUUUUCUUAUUAGCCAUUGUCUUUAACUUCUCCCCAGCUAUAGCUGAGGCCUGGGCUCAGAUUCCCCAAGCAGCUGACAGAUGCAGCAAGAGUGAAAUCAAUCUUGUAACCCUCCCAGCCAUUUGAUUCCUAAUUUCCUUCUUUGUAUGCCCUUCUUCACUGUUCAGACUAUGCUCUUGGAAACCAACUGCAUACAGGGUUUCUGACAUCAGACUCACCUAUUGCCAACAUUCUGUCUGUCCCUCUGUCAGCUGAGUGUCUGCAGUGAUGAGAAAGGCACGAUAACUCCAAGGCAAUUCAUCACCUCUGCAACUGAGGGAGAGCUUCUGAGCUCAGUUGUGUCAGAGGAAGCUGCCAAUGCCUCUGUCAGAGCUGGGGAGUGGGGCUGAAGGUGCUGGUCCAUGAAAUCACACAGGAGAAAGGGAGAAGCUGCCAGAAGCAGUAGACCACGGGGUGUAAGUGAAGAAUGAUUGUUGCUGGCAUGGACCACUCAACCCCAAAGGGACCAAGUGAUGCCAUGGGGCUUUCUCUGUGGUCUGUUUACUCCUGAGCAUCCACCCAGCAGAAGCAAUAAUAGUGCUGAGGGCUGGAAGCAAAACAGUUUCCAAUGAAAAGGGUUCACCUAGGCAACAGUCCCUCCUCCCCACCAAAUAGGGAUGGAAAGAUGAGAAGCCGAUGCCAAGGGCUUCUUUUCUGUUUUCCUAUACUGCUCUAGAGGAGAGCAGAUUCUUGAUGAACCAGAGGGACAAGGAUACACUGGACUUCCUAGUGCACUAGUCUACUUCUACUGCCUUCCAGCUGUCUGUGCAAACUGGUGAUGCAUUCUGACGGGGUCUGAAAUCCAUUCCCACAACAAGCAAGCCAAAGUAUGAGCAACAUGAGGCCAAGGCUACUGGAGCCCUUCAGGAGUGACGUUUGGCCCCAUAUGAUCAUGAUCCUGUUAUGCCCUGUUGCAGAAUCCAACAUUGCCUGUCCCAGCAGCACCAAAGGGGAAUCCCAAGGGCUGAAGCUACAUUGGAGAACACACAUUGUUGUUCAUGUAUCUAUCCCUGCUCCAUAAUGCUCAUGGUGGAGAAGAGUGGUAACAAGGCUGCUCAGUCAUUCUGUCAUCACUUCUGUUGCUGUGCUGUUGGCAAGCUAACUAGCUGGCUUUCUGUCUUGUCCUAUUUUAUUUGUGAAGACUGAUUUUAGGGCCUCCAGAACGCUCAUUCCCCCACACUGAUUUUUUUCUUUCUCAAAACAGACCAGUGAAGGCUCAAGAAAGCUAUGUGUCACAGAAGAUGAAAUGCCCCCACCCAGUGUUAGAAGCAGACACUGCUCUAAGUGUUUCAAACAGAGGGUACCAAUAACAAAAGAAGUCUAGAUGGGGCCUUGGAGAAGGAAAGACCAACAAGAAAACCUGUAAGGCAACACAGAUUGACCACAGCGGGAAGUUCUACUACCUUUAGGAUAUUGGCCAAACAAUGUUUUAUUCAUCAACCAAUAAGAGAAACAUAUAUACAGAAGGACAUCCCCAUCACACAUAGGCUACUUCUUAACAAUUAUAUUCAAAGGAAACUGUGGUUGGACAUAGAUCUUUGGGAACUGACCGGUAUUUUGACUUUAUAUUCGUCUGUGUUGAGGACUGCACUUCGAGCAAUCUGAGAGCAACUUGAGUUUCGAAACAGCAAAGUGACCAGAGCAGAUAUUUGCUUCAAAGCCUCCUCUCUUGUGAUGGUGAUGAGCAGGAGGUAGAAGGAAACAGUUGCCUUCCUUCGGGACUAGGCUUCCUUAGACCGUCGUGUCUACUUUCUGCCCACUACCUCUAGUUAUUUUCUAUGGCCUCUUGGGCUGGCCAUCUCAUUCACCUUCCUACUUUACCAAGCUAUCUGACUCAACUCAGUGAGUGUCUGGCAACCAUUUUACACAAAACAUAAACAGGGUCAUCACUAAAGACCCAUCAACCUCCACAUUCAAUUACUCACUUCCUAUUCAUCUGCCCAGAAGUCCUUGUCACGUGUUUUAUUAUGACAUUAACAUAUUGGCACACACAUUGGUAUCUAUGAAUAAAUGCCUUAAAGAGCAAAAUAGACACUAAUUCAUGUUUUCAUAGAAUGCUCACUCAGCAAAGGGAGAGUAGCAACCAUGGAUGGAGUGAAUCAGCCCCUUACUGCUGUAGGAGAAAAACAAAUCAGCCAGUUGGUACAGGAACUGCAAACCCAUAGAUGGUUCCUGGUAUGCAAGCCCUUGAAGUACAAUGGUCAGCCAGGCAAUAUGAGGGAAAGAUUGAUUAGCAGGAAGCAGAAUUGGGUUUCAAGAAAUUAGCAGAGGCAAUGGGUAUUGAAGUGGGGUAGGGGCAAGUAUUAUUUAGCUUUCUGGAAACCUGCAGAAGAUGUAAACGGAAAUGGACUAGCAACAUUUCAGAGAAAAAACGGUAAAGCAGGCAGCAUUAUUAAUUGUCCUUAAAGGUAGUGGAAAUAUGCGUAUGCAACUGAAGAAACAGAAGGAAACAUCAACAGUAUAGGAGGACUGAGGAUAACAAGGAAGACUUGUUAUCCAUACUCUGCCCUGCUGACUCCAUUGUCUGCACAGUUUUGGCUCCUUUCCUCAUCUGUUGGAAGCAUUCUAGUUUUAUUUUCUCCUCUUUUCUUCCUUCCUUUCUUUCUUUUUUUAACUGAAAAUAGUUUUUUUUCACAUAAUACAUCCUGAUUAGUGUUUUCCCCAGCCUCUAGUCCUCCUGGCUCCCCCACACCUCCUCUCCCAUUUGGAUCCAUUCCCUUUCUGUCUUUCACUAGAAAAAAAUAAGCUUCUAUGGGAUAAUGAUAAAAUAAAACAAAAACUAACACAUAGGGAUUGGACAAAACAACCAGAGAGGAAAGAGUCCAAGCAAAAGCACAAGAAACAGAGACCCACUCAUUCACACACUCAGUAAAAAAGAAAUCAUAAUAUAUACACAAAGUACCUGUAGAGUAAAAAAAAGAGAAUAAGAGCAUAUAUUAAUACAAAUUUUAAAAAGAUAAAACUUUAAAAGGUGGGGGUGGGUAGGACAAGCCCUGACAAACUGUUAUGAGACAAAGAACAUCCAAAGAUGUCGAUAAGUUAAUUUGUUAGCCAUCUACUGCUGGGCAUGCAGCCUACCCUUAAGAGUAGUUUGUUUCCCAGUGAAACUCCCUUGGAGAAAACUCAAUAUACAUUUGCAAGUGGUUAUCAAUUGGAGAUGGCUUAUAGGUUAGGGAUGGGGCAUGCAUCUACUUCUAGUUUCAAAUCUAGGACGAUGCAGAUCCAUAAAGGCCCUAUGCAUGCUAUCUCAAGUUCUAUGAGUUCUAUGAUCUCUGAUCAUGUUGAUUUAAAGGGCCCUGUUUUCUUGGUGUUCCUCCAUCACCUCUGGCUCUUACACUGUUUCCUCUUCUGCACUGUUCCCUGAGCUUUAAGGGUAAGGAUUUAAUAGAGGCAUUCCAUUUAGGGCCUAGUGUUCCAAAGUCCUUUGUUAUCUGCAUAAUGUCUGGCUGUGUGUCUCAGUAUUUGUUCCCUUCUGCUGCAGGAAAUAGCUGCUCUGAUGAUGGCUGAGCAAGGCACUGAUCAUUUGAGUGUAGCAGAAAGUCAUCAGGAGUAAUUUCAUUGCUACAUUAUUGUGUUGGGGGAUUUCUUCUUGUUUGUUUUGUUUUGUUUUGUUUUGUUGUUGUUUUAGAGCAUUAGUGUUUGGUUUUACCCUAGGUCCCUGAGUCUCAGGUUCUUGAUCACCCAUGCAGUAUGGGGAAGGGUUCUAUCUCCUGGAGUGGGCCUCAGUCAAAUUAGAUAUUGGUUGAUUACUCCCACAAACAUUGUGUCACCAUUGCAUAGCUUAUCUUGCAGGCAGAACACUAUUGUAGAUCAA